GAUGAACGCUGGCUACAGGCUUAACACAUGCAAGUCGAGGGGAAACGACGGGGAAGCUUGCUUCCCCGGGCGUCGACCGGCGCACGGGUGAGUAACGCGUAUCCAACCUGCCUCUGACUGAGGGAUAACCCGUCGAAAGUCGGCCUAAUACCUCAUGGCAUCGUCUGCGGGCAUCCAACGACGAUUAAAGAUUUCAUCGGUCAGGGAUGGGGAUGCGUCUGAUUAGCUUGUUGGCGGGGUAACGGCCCACCAAGGCUACGAUCAGUAGGGGUUCUGAGAGGAAGGUCCCCCACAUUGGAACUGAGACACGGUCCAAACUCCUACGGGAGGCAGCAGUGAGGAAUAUUGGUCAAUGGGCGGGAGCCUGAACCAGCCAAGUAGCGUGCAGGAUGACGGCCCUAUGGGUUGUAAACUGCUUUUAUGCGGGGAUAAAGUGAGGGGCGUGUCCUUCAUUGCAGGUACCGCAUGAAUAAGGACCGGCUAAUUCCGUG
rnacentral:rRNA from 1 species